rnacentral:rRNA from 1 species
GACGAACGCUGGCGGCGUGCCUAACACAUGCAAGUCGAACGGGGUAGAGAGCUUCGGUUUUCUACUUAGUGGCGAACGGGUGAGUAACGCGUGAGAAACCUGCCUUUCAGUGGGGGACAACAGUUGGAAACGACUGCUAAUACCGCAUAAUGUAUUCGGGGGGCAUCCCCUGAAUACCAAAGCUUUAUGUGCUGAAAGAUGGUCUCGCGUCUGAUUAGCUAGAUGGCGGGGUAACGGCCCACCAUGGCGAUGAUCAGUAGCCGGUCUGAGAGGAUGAACGGUCACAUUGGGACUGAGAUACGGCCCAGACUCCUACGGAAGGCAGCAGUGGGGAAUAUUGGGCAAUGGGGGAAACCCUGACCCAGCAACGCCGCGUGAAGGAAGAAGGCCUUCGGGUUGUAAACUUCUUUUAGCAGGGACGAAGAACGUGACGGUACCUGCAGAAAAAGCAACGGCUAACUACGUGCCAGCCGCCGCAGUAACAC